AUCUCCGACUUGUGUCAAGAAAUGGGAAGUUCUGGGCCCAGAUCGCCAGAUCCCCAUAAGUCAGCGAUGAGGGAGGCCGAGCAGGGGCUGCCCGUUAGACGGCCGCAGAGUCCCAGCCCCCAGCCCUGCUCACCUUUCUUACCUCUCUGGCCCCGUCGGCAUUUGAGCCUGGGACCCCAGACGAAAGGAUACGCUUCCUUUUAGAACCCCUGCCAAUCUGAGGACGGGGCCACCCCACAGACGCCGUGGCUCAGCAAGCAGACCAAUGGCCGAGGAGUCUGGCAAGAGGCGCUUGAUGAGAGUGGAGUCUGUAAAUCACCCUCCAUGCAAUGGUUCAUCAUAAAGGAUAUGGAGCAAAAUUAGAGGAGGCACGAGAAGGAAAGCCGGUGAUGAACAAGGAAAGUGCCUGGUUGAAGCUAGCUUGCAAUCCCCAAAGUCAGAAGGUUGCCUGGGAAGCCAUGAAACAAAGCCAAAUCAAGGCAAAGCAGACACAUGGAGAUUUUGAGACUGAGAAGAGGAAAACUGAGGACAUUCAUGUGAGAUGGUUUCAAGUUUCCCUUA
rnacentral:lncRNA from 1 species